AGUGAACGCUGGCGGUAGGCCUAACACAUGCAAGUCGAACGGCAGCACAGUAAGAGCUUGCUCUUACGGGUGGCGAGUGGCGGACGGGUGAGGAAUACAUCGGAAUCUACUUUUUCGUGGGGGAUAACGUAGGGAAACUUACGCUAAUACCUCAUACGACCUACGGGUGAAAGCAGGGGAUCUUCGGACCUUGCGCGAUUGAAUGAGCCGAUGUCGGAUUAGCUAGUUGGCGGGGUAAAGGCCCACCAAGGCGUCGAUCCGUAGCUGGUCUGAGAGGAUGAUCAGCCACACUGGAACUGAGACACGGUCCAGACUCCUACGGGAGGCAGCAGUGGGGAAUAUUGGACAAUGGGCGCAAGCCUGAUCCAGCCAUACCGCGUGGGUGAAGAAGGCCUUCGGGUUGUAAAGCCCUUUUGUUGGGAAAGAAAAGCAGCAGGUUAAUACCCCGCUGUUCUGACGGUACCCAAAGAAUAAGCACCGGCUAACUUCGUG
rnacentral:rRNA from 1 species